AGAGUUUGAUCCUGGCUCAGGACGAACGCUGGCGGCGUGCUUAACACAUGCAAGUCGAACGAGAAUCUACUGAAAGAGUUUUCGGACAAUGGAUGUAGAGGAAAGUGGCGGACGGGUGAGUAACGCGUGAGGAACCUGCCUUGAAGAGGGGGACAACAGUUGGAAACGACUGCUAAUACCGCAUGACGCAUAGAGGUCGCAUGAUCUUUAUGCCAAAGAUUUAUCGCUUCAAGAUGGCCUCGCGUCUGAUUAGCUGGUUGGCGGGGUAACGGCCCACCAAGGCGACGAUCAGUAGCCGGACUGAGAGGUUGAACGGCCACAUUGGGACUGAGAUACGGCCCAGACUCCUACGGGAGGCAGCAGUGGGGAAUAUUGGGCAAUGGGCGCAAGCCUGACCCAGCAACGCCGCGUGAAGGAAGAAGGCUUUCGGGUUGUAAACUUCUUUUAAGAGGGAAGAGCAGAAGACGGUACUCUAGAAUAAGCCACGGCUAACUACGUGCCAGCAGCCGCGGUAAUACGUAGGUGGCAAGCGUUGUCCGGAUUUACUGGGUGUAAAGGGCGUGCACGGGUCUGCAAGUCAGAUGUGAACAUGGGCUCCCAUGAAACUGCAUUUGAAACUUAGAUCUUGAGUGUCGGAGGGGCAAUCGGGAAUUCCUUAGUGUAGCGGUGAAAUGCGUAGAUAUUAGGAGGAACCCAGUGGCGAGGCGGGAUUGCUGGACAUACUGACGGUGAGGCGGGAAAGGGGAGCAACAGGAAUUAGACCCUUGUAUCCCACUAAACGAAGGAAUUAAGGUGUGCGGGGGACUGCCCCUGCGUGCCGCAGUAACCACAAUAAGUAUUCCACCUGGGGAGUACGAUCGCAAGGUUGAAACUCAAAGGAAUUGACGGGGGCCCGCCCAAGCGGUGGAUUAUGUGGUUUAAUUGAAGCAACGCGAAGACCUUACCAGGGUUUGACAUCCUGCUAACGAAGUAGAGAUACAUUAGGUGCCCUUCGGGGAAAGCAGAGACAGGUGGUGCAUGGUUGUCGUCAGCUCGUGUCGUGAGAUGUUGGGUUAAGUCCCGCAACGAGCGCAACCCCUAUUGUUAGUUGCUACGCAAGAGCACUCUAGCGAGACUGCCGUUGACAAAACGGAGGAAGGUGGGGACGACGUCAAAUCAUCAUGCCCCUUAUAUCCUGGGCUACACACGUAAUACAAUGGCGGUCAACAGAGGGAAGCAAAGCCGCGAGGCAGAGCAAACCCCCAAAAGCCGUCCCAGUUCGGAUUGUAGGCUGCAACUCGCCUGCAUGAAGUCGGAAUCGCUAGUAAUCGCGGAUCAGCAUGCCGCGGUGAAUACGUUCCCGGGCCUUGCACACACCGCCCGUC
rnacentral:rRNA from 1 species